UACGGAGGGGGCUAGCGUUGUUCGGAAUUACUGGGCGUAAAGGGUACGUAGGCGGCCUUGUAAGUUAGAGGUGAAAGCCCGGGGCUCAACUCCGGAAUUGCCUUUAAGACUGCAUCGCUUGAAUCAUGGAGAGGUGAGUGGAAUUCCGAGUGUAGAGGUGAAAUUCGUAGAUAUUCGGAAGAACACCAGUGGCGAAGGCGACUCACUGGACAUGUAUUGACGCUGAGGUACGAAAGCGUGGGGAGCAAACAGG
rnacentral:rRNA from 1 species